rnacentral:rRNA from 1 species
GACGAACGCUGGCGGCGUGCCUAAUACAUGCAAGUCGAGCGGAGCACUUCGGUGCUCAGCGGCGGACGGGUGAGUAACACGUAGGCAACCUGCCUGUAAGACCGGGAUGACUACCGGAAACGGUAGCUAAGACCGGAUAACUGGUUUUUCCGCAUGGAGAGAUCAUGAAACAUGGGGCAACCUAUGGCUUACGGAUGGGCCUGCGGCGCAUUAGCUGGUUGGUGGGUAACGGCCUACCAAGGCGACGAUGCGUAGCCGACCUGAGAGGGUGAACGGCCACACUGGGACUGAGACACGGCCCAGACGCCUACGGGAGGCAGCAGUAGGGAAUCUUCCGCAAUGGACGCAAGUCUGACGGAGCAACGCCGCGUGAGUGAGGAAGGUCUUCGGAUCGUAAAGCUCUGUUGCCCUAGACGAACGCUUGGGAGAGUAACUGCUCUCAAGGUGACGGUAUAGGAGAAGAAAGCCCCGGCUAACUACGUGCCAGCCGCCGCAGUAAAAC